rnacentral:rRNA from 1 species
UAGCGUAUAUUAAAGUUGUUGCGGUUAAAAAGCUCGUAGUUGGAUUUCUGCCGAGAAGGUUCGGUCUGUACCUUGUGCAUGUAUCGAGUCCGUCUUGGCAUCCUCGUGGAAAACGUGUCUGCGCUUGAUUGCGUGGUGCGGGGUUCACGACUUUUACUUUGAGGAAAUUAGAGUGUUCACGGCAGGCUUCCGCCUUGAAUAUAUUAGCAUGGAAUAAUAAUAUAGGAUCUUGGUUCUAUUUUGUUGGUUUCUAGAGCUAAGUUAAUGAUUAAUAGGGACAAUUGGGGGCAUUCGUAUUAACGCGUC